CCGGCGAACGGGUGCGUAACACGUGAACAACCUGCCCCUGUGUGGGGGAUAGCCAUGCUAACGCGUGGGUAAUACCGCAUACGGUUUCCUGGGGGAGUCCCUGGGGAAAGAAAGCUCUGGCGCACGGGGAGGGGUUCGCGGCCUAUCAGCUAGUUGGUGAGGUAACGGCUCACCAAGGCGACGACGGGUAGCUGGUCUGAGAGGAUGGCCAGCCACAUUGGGACUGAGAGACGGCCCAG
rnacentral:rRNA from 1 species